AGGUUCCACCCUUUUCUGGGAACUUUACACCCCGCCACUCCUGAGCACCGCACACCGGCUUCCUCCCAGUCCCUCAUCUGAGAACUCAUGAAGCCACUUGGAAUCCCUCUCUGCUUUGCCUGGCUCAUUCCAUGUCAAUUUCAGAUCUUCACUUCAGGUCAGCUCCAAGGAGGCUAUCCUUGCCCAUCUUCCUAAAAUAGAGCUCUCAAAACCUGGCUGUUUUCCUUCAGAGCACUGGCCUCCAAUUGCUCCGGUAGAUUGCAAAUGACCUGCUUUCUUUCUGUUCCCGGGCUGCGUUCGGACCCCUGUCGGAGAGUAAAUCCGAAAAAAACAAACAAAGACAUGGAUUUACUGUGCAUAUUAGCAGAUCCAUACUGGAAAAUGCAUGGAGGUUUCAUAUACACCACUUACAGGUUUCCAAAGCCACAAUUUCCUUCAUAUGUUCAAACUCUUCAGGAUGCAGAAAGGCAGUGAACUCCUCCGGAGUAGCUGUCAGGUCACCAUUGAGGUCUGCAGCUUUGAAUCUUCUCUCAUCACGUGGCAGCAUCUUUUUAAAGGUGUGAUGAUCUGAAGAAUCAUGAAACUCUGCGGGGUUUCCUAGGUUUUCAGCUCCUCAGUAGUGACAAAGCCAUACCCAUCAUUGUCGAUUCGAUCAACAAUCUUCCCUAGCCUCUCCUUGCUCUCGUCCGGGGUGAGCUCGUCGAAGUUCUUGGAGUCCUCCUUGCCCAGGAAGGCCUCGUGGUCGUACUGGAAGCUCUGGUUGUCCUCAGGGGGCCGCUCGCCCAGCUCCGAGUCGGGCCGCACCACGCGCUCUUUGCGCACCGUGGGCUUGGCCCGCAGAACCCGCGGCGCCAGCACCAGCGCCAGCAGCAGCCCCAGGGCUAACCCCAGGCGGCCACCGCGCGCCAUCGUCCCGAGGAGAGGGCGGCCGGGAGGGAGACGCUGAGCGAGCGACAACAGCGGCAGCUCGGGAAUGGGGGCUCGGAGCGCGGCGGCCAAGUUUUAUGUUAUGUAUAUUUUACAAGUAAAAAAAUUUUUUCACCUCAGCCUGAACUGAACACUAGCUGACAGACGUUUUGAUUUCUUUGACCAUCACGGAAUCGUGGCCAAGCGCGGUGGCUCACAUCUGUAAUCCCAACACUUUGGGAGGUCAAGAUGGGCGGAUUGCUUGAAUCCAGGUGUUUGAGAUCAGCCUGGGCAACAUG
rnacentral:lncRNA from 1 species